AGAGUUUGAUCCUGGCUCAGGAUGAACGCUGGCGGCGUGCCUAAUACAUGCAAGUCGAACGCUUCACUUCGGUGAAGAGUGGCGAACGGGUGAGUAAUACAUAAGUAACCUGGCAUCUACAGGGGGAUAACUGAUGGAAACGUCAGCUAAGACCGCAUAGGUGUAGAGAUCGCAUGAACUCUAUAUGAAAAGUGCUACGGGACUGGUAGAUGAUGGACUUAUGGCGCAUUAGCUUGUUGGUAGGGUAACGGCCUACCAAGGCGACGAUGCGUAGCCGACCUGAGAGGGUGACCGGCCACACUGGGACUGAGACACGGCCCAGACUCCUACGGGAGGCAGCAGUAGGGAAUUUUCGGCAAUGGGGGAAACCCUGACCGAGCAACGCCGCGUGAAGGAAGAAGUAAUUCGUUAUGUAAACUUCUGUCAUAGAGGAAGAACGGUGGAUAUAGGGAAUGAUAUCCAAGUGACGGUACUCUAUAAGAAAGCCACGGCUAACUACGUGCCAGCAGCCGCGGUAAUACGUAGGUGGCGAGCGUUAUCCGGAAUUAUUGGGCGUAAAGAGGGAGCAGGCGGCACUAAGGGUCUGUGGUGAAAGAUCGAUGCUUAACUUCGGUAAGCCAUGGAAACCGUAGAGCUAGAGUGUGUGAGAGGAUCGUGGAAUUCCAUGUGUAGCGGUGAAAUGCGUAGAUAUAUGGAGGAACACCAGUGGCGAAGGCGACGAUCUGGCGCAUAACUGACGCUCAGUCCCGAAAGCGUGGGGAGCAAAUAGGAUUAGAUACCCUAGUAGUCCACGCCGUAAACGAUGAGUACUAAGUGUUGGGUGUCAAAGCUCAGUGCUGCAGUUAACGCAAUAAGUACUCCGCCUGAGUAGUACGUUCGCAAGAAUGAAACUCAAAGGAAUUGACGGGGGCCCGCACAAGCGGUGGAGCAUGUGGUUUAAUUCGAAGCAACGCGAAGAACCUUACCAGGUCUUGACAUCGAUCUAAAGGCUCCAGAGAUGGAGAGAUAGCUAUAGAGAAGACAGGUGGUGCAUGGUUGUCGUCAGCUCGUGUCGUGAGAUGUUGGGUUAAGUCCCGCAACGAGCGCAACCCCCUGUUGCCAGUUGCCAGCAUUAAGUUGGGGACUCUGGCGAGACUGCCGGUGACAAGCCGGAGGAAGGCGGGGAUGACGUCAAAUCAUCAUGCCCCUUAUGACCUGGGCUACACACGUGCUACAAUGGACAGAGCAGAGGGAAGCGAAGCCGCGAGGUGGAGCGAAACCCAUAAAACUGUUCUCAGUUCGGACUGCAGUCUGCAACUCGACUGCACGAAGAUGGAAUCGCUAGUAAUCGCGAAUCAGCAUGUCGCGGUGAAUACGUUCUCGGGCCUUGUACACACCGCCCGUCACACCAUGAGAGUCGGUAACACCCGAAGCCGGUGGCCUAACUGCAAGGAAGGAGCUGUCUAAGGUGGGACUGAUGAUUGGGGUGAAGUCGAACAAGGUA
rnacentral:rRNA from 1 species